AGCGAACGCUGGCGGCAGGCCUAACACAUGCAAGUCGAACGAACCGGCCGGGGUUAGUGGCGGACGGGGGAGGAACACGGGGGAACGUGCCUGUGGGUUCGGAAUAACUCAGGGAAACUUGUGCUAAUACCGAAGGGGCCCUUCCGGGGAAAGAUUCAUCGCCUUUAGAGCGGCCCGGGUCUGUUUAGCUAGUUGGGUGAGGUAUUGGCUCACCAAGGCGACGUGGAGGAGCUGGUGUGGUAGGAUGAUCAGCCACAUUGGGACUGCGACACGGCCCAAACUCCUACGCGAGGCAGCGGUGGAGAACCUUGCGCGAUGAACGCAAGCAUGACGCCGCCGUGCCGCGUGAAUGAUGAAUGUCUUAGGAUUCUAAAAUUCUUUGACCGGGGACGAUAAUGACGGUACCCGGAAAAGAAGCCCCGGCUAACUUCGUG
rnacentral:rRNA from 1 species